rnacentral:rRNA from 1 species
GACGUAGGGUGCAAGCGUUGUCCGGAUUUAUUGGGCGUAAAGAGCUCGUAGGCGGCGUGUUACGUCGAUCGUGAAAACCUAUCCGCUUAACGGUGGGCUUGCGGUCGAUACGGGCAGGCUAGAGUUCGGUAGGGGAGACUGGAAUUCCUGGUGUAGCGGUGAAAUGCGCAGAUAUCAGGAGGAACACCGGUGGCGAAGGCGAGUCCCUGGACAACACCUGACACUGAGGCACGAAAGCCGGGGGAGCAAACAGG